rnacentral:rRNA from 1 species
AACGUAGGAGGCGAGCGUUAUCCGGAUUUACUGGGCGUAAAGCGUACGCAGGUGGCUUCGUGAGUCGGACAUGAAAGCUCCUGGCUUAACUGGGAGAGGUUGUUCGAUACUGCGGGGCUUGAGGUUGGGAGAGGGACGUGGAAUUCCCGGUGUAGUGGUGGAAUGCGUAGAUAUCGGGAGGAACACCAGUGGCGCAAGCGGCGUCCUGGCCCACACCUGACGCUGAGGUACGAAAGCGUGGGUAGCAAAC